CGGGAGGAGAAUGGUCUGAAGUA
rnacentral:piRNA from 1 species